AUUGAACGCUGGCGGCAGGCCUAACACAUGCAAGUCGAGCGGAUGAAGGGAGCUUGCUCCUGGAUUCAGCGGCGGACGGGUGAGUAAUGCCUAGGAAUCUGCCUGGUAGUGGGGGAUAACGUCCGGAAACGGGCGCUAAUACCGCAUACGUCCUGAGGGAGAAAGUGGGGGAUCUUCGGACCUCACGCUAUCAGAUGAGCCUUGGUCGGAUUAGCUAGUUGGUGGGGUAAAGGCCUACCAAGGCGACGAUCCGUAACUGGUCUGAGAGGAUGAUCAGUCACACUGGAACUGAGACACGGUCCAGACUCCUACGGGAGGCAGCAGUGGGGAAUAUUGGACAAUGGGCGAAAGCCUGAUCCAGCCAUGCCGCGUGUGUGAAGAAGGUCUUCGGAUUGUAAAGCACUUUAAGUUGGGACGAAGGGCAGUAAGUUAAUACCUUGCUGUUUUGACGUUACCAACAGAAUAAGCACCGGCUAACUUCGUG
rnacentral:rRNA from 1 species